UUUUAAAAUGUCAAUUGUGUUAGUGAUUAAACCAAGAAAGAAGUGUCUAAAUCUAUAAAAUGUUUAAAGAUUUUAGUCACUUAAUAACGAGACAUUAACUUAGUGAAGAUUGAAACAAACGAGCUUGAAAGGUUUUAAAGCUAUUACACAAUGUCCUCUACCCGUAUACUCCACGUUUAUACAUUUUGAAUGUAUGAAGUGAUUUCUCAUUAAAGUCAUGAGAAAUAGUGGGAGGUGUGAAAAUGGAUAUAAACUCAAAUAUGAUUGGUUUAUAGUUGUCUAAAGAAUAAUAGUACUUGACUAUUAUUAAGAUUUUGUAAUUUUAAUUGUUAAAGGACUCAAGCUCUUCAAACGUUAAAAUUCUAUGUUGUGUAACAUUCUAAAGAAUAGUCUUUGAAUGUUAGUUUCGUCAACCUAACAUAAAAUGGUUAUAUGUUGAGAGUUGUCCAUCAUUCUCUUUUAUGAGAACAAGCUAAUAACAAAGCCCAUGAACAAAUUUGAUGAAACAAAAGGGAAUAGUUUCAAAAUGAGUCACAACAUAUAGUUUAACAACAAGACAAUCCAAAUUCAACAUCUUAUGUAACUAUAACGCUCUAUGUAGUUUUGAUAAAGAAUUAUAUCAACCACUUGGAAGGAAUGGUUGAGUUUCUAUAUCCUUAGUAGGAGCCAUACUUCCACUAAAGACUUGGAUAAUUCUUAUAUUACUACAUUAAAGGUCUUAGUAUGACUAAAACUUGUAGUAUGGUGUAUGACAC
rnacentral:lncRNA from 1 species